UACGUAGGGUGCGAGCGUUGUCCGGAAUUAUUGGGCGUAAAGAGCUCGUAGGCGGCUUGUCACGUCGGGUGUGAAAGCCCGGGGCUUAACCCCGGGUCUGCAUCCGAUACGGGCAGGCUAGAGUGUGGUAGGGGAGAUCGGAAUUCCUGGUGUAGCGGUGAAAUGCGCAGAUAUCAGGAGGAACACCGGUGGCGAAGGCGGAUCUCUGGGCCAUUACUGACGCUGAGGAGCGAAAGCGUGGGGAGCGAACAGG
rnacentral:rRNA from 1 species